CAAGUCGAACGGUAACAGAUCUAGCUUGCUAGAUGCUGACGAGUGGCGCACGGGUGCGUAACGCGUAUGCAAUCUACCUAUAACUUAGGAAUAGCCCAGAGAAAUUUGGAUUAAAACCUUAUAAUAUUAUUAUUUGGCAUCAUUUAAUAAUUAAAACUCCGGUGGUUAUAGAUGAGUAUGCGUUCUAUUAGUUUGUUGGUGAGGUAACGGCUCACCAAGACUACGAUAGAUAGGGGGCCUGAGAGGGUGAUCCCCCACACUGGUACUGAGACACGGACCAGACUCCUACGGGAGGCAGCAGUGAGGAAUAUUGCGCAAUGGAGGAAACUCUGACGCAGCCAUACCGCGUGUAGGAAGAAUGUCCUAUGGAUUGUAAACUACUUUUAUACAAGAAGAAACCCCAGUACGUGUACUGGGCUGACGGUAUUGUAAGAAUAAGCACCGGCUAACUCCGUGCCAGCAGCCGCGGUAAUACGGAGGGUGCAAGCGUUAUCCGGAUUUAUUGGGUUUAAAGGGUCCGCAGGCGGGAUUCUAAGUCAGUGGUGAAAGCCUACAGCUUAACUGUAGAACUGCCAUUGAAACUGGAAUUCUUGAGUGUGGUUGAAGUAGACGGAAUAUGUCAUGUAGCGGUGAAAUGCAUAGAUAUGACAUA
rnacentral:rRNA from 1 species